GUGUGGUAGAAGACAAGCUAAUUUGAAUAAAAAAUACCAAAUGUAUUUUGGGAAUGUCUGUGGCAAGGGAGUGUGCCAGGAUUUGGCAUUUUUCCUGCCCUUUGAGUUUGUGUGUGCUGCUCAUGGCAAGGCUCAGGGGCCUGGGAAGGUAUAUGGAAAAAGGAACAUGGUUUGGACAAAUCCUUUGGUAUUCAGGAGACAAUUUAACCUGGAACAGAAAUGUGGGUGGUGGGAGAACCUUUGUGCAGUCCUCUGCUUUAAGGCUGCAGAUUUUCUGAGUGACCUUGGCAAACCCAUUUCCACCUGACUCCGUUCUGGAUCUGAAAACUGGGAUUAUGGUACUGACUCACACUUACAGAUUUGAGGAUGGAAAAUGUUAAGAGCUGGGAUUUAGUGUAUUUUUAAUUGUAGGGAGUCUCACCAAAUUGGGUGAUUUAUCUCUUCUAGUUUCGGUAUGCUCUCAGCUGUGAGAGAGAGCUUUAGGCCCUUCUCCAUGUAAAAAAUACCCUCAUUUAACUUCUGAGUUAGCUUUAAUUUAUGUAUUAGCUGGUGCAUCUGCCAAAUUGUUUAGUUGGGUUUAAAAGUCCUUAGUUGACAGAGAAAACUGUGCACACAAAUCCUUCCUGCUACUGCAUUUGGGCCUAUUUUCCUUACAAGCAGAGUAUUUUCUGAUGUUAUUCCUUUUUUAAUUAUUUUUUUCUGGCUUGGACUGUCCCCCUGCAAUGACUCUGGCAGAGCUGGGGUGGCCUGGGCUGUGCUGUUGCUCUGGGCUGUGCACAGGGGUGUGAGGGGCUGGGAGCAGCCCUUGUCCCUUCCCAUCCCUCAUCAAUGUCACCCAGGGUGGCUCAGAAUUCCUUUUCUUUGCCUGUCUCCAGUUACCCAGCGCUGGGAUGGCGAAAGCAGGUGCAAAGUGACUGUGCCAAAAAUAGAAAUUUCAAUCCCUGCUCCUAGUGCAGAGGGGGGAUUUCAGCUCUCCCCCCUCGGACAACAACUCCCCUGCACACCCAGGAGUUUGUCACAAUCACCCCGACGUCCUGGCUCUUCUUUAAACUCUCUCUAAAGGAGAAUCCAUCCCCUCCAGGUGGAUGUGGGGACAGAGGAGGGCCCUGAUCCUGUGACAGCUUUGGCAGAGCAGACACGGCUGUGGUUUUGAAGCAUGGGUCAUUGGGAGCACUGUGGAAAGGCAGCAGUAAGAACUCCACCAGGAACUCAUUUCAUGUUCUAUUUAGGAAAAAAAUCCCUUUUUAAUCUCAUUCCUUUAAUCCUCAGCUUCCAAAUAACAAACCGUGAUCUAUUAGCUUUAAAGCUUGAGGAAAUUAGGGGUGAAAUAGCGUAGAAUUCAGGAGUAGUUUGGGUUGGAAGGGAUCUUAAACCCCAUCCCAUCCCACCCCCUGCCAUGGCAGGGACACCUUCCACCACCCCAGGCUGAUCCAAGCCUUGUCCAGCCUGGCCUUGGGCACUCCCAGGGCUGGAGGAGCCAAAGCUUCUCUGGGUACCCUGUGCCACCCUCACAGGUAAGAAUUUUUUCCCAAUGUCUGAUCAGGGUGUUCAUUUGAAAAUCUAGGUCAGAUUUUCCCUGAUGUUUUGUCUCUUUGGAUUUGAGCCUUUUAACAUUUUUUUCUUUAGGUUUUCCAUAGGAUCUAGACCCUGCCUCACUCAUGCAAGAGCACACAGAUGUCAUCGAUUACAGAAGAACUUUAAGAAGUCAUAAUUAAUAUUUGGACAACAUUACUUACAUGGAGAUAUUCUAAACAGAAAGAAACUACAAUUUCCCUCUUCUAGUUAUAGUAAAAAUCUGAAGCCAAACAAACGAAACUUAUUUUGGAUAUUCUGCUGUUUCCCUUGGUAACAGUCCUUAUAUGGAACAACAAAAAUCUGGCUUUUGUUGACCUCCCCAUUACCACUUUCUGGUUCUUCCACAUUGGCUGAAGGUCUCAGGAUUGAAUUCACAAAGGCUGGAAUGGAUGAUUUACACAGAACAAUAACAAAACUUUUGGCAGACAAUUUUAACCACCAAUUUUAAUUCGGAAAUAAUUGAAUUGCUUACUUUUCGAAAUUUCUGUGGUUUUGGUUUUCUGUUGUAAUGGAAAGUUUUGCACUUCUUUAUGUCUAACUUGCAGUUACAUUGUGUGUUAAGACAAACUGAAAUCUCCUUUAAAGGGUGUGUAUUGAACUCUAAAUAUAACCCAGAGAGAAACCUGGCUUUUAACUUUUUUUAGACAUAUUGCUGUGUAAGAAAAUGAUAUUUUAAAACAUAUUCCCUUGGAAGAACAUAAGUGGUUGGGUUUGGUCAGAAUUUUGAAGAAUUUGCCUUGAGAAAAAGGUAUGUAAUUACCCAUGGGGGUGCACAGGUGCGAGGGAAAGCAGACAAGUUUGUGCAUGACAGCAAAGGUGCUGAAUUUGAAAACAAAGAGGGGAUUUUUUGGAAUCUUUUAGUGUAUGAAGUUUAGCUUGGGUAAAUCUUGAACUGAGAUUGUCUGGAACAGGGCAGAAGCAGUUGGACUCCCCUUGCUUUGAGUCAUGUUUUCAGGCUUUCUUCUUGAAAUCACAAUUAACUGAGGCAUCAAAUUAAUACUUUCCAAUAAAAAUCUAUGCUUUUCACUUUCACUUUGGGCUUUGGGACUCUCAGUUUAAAAUUUGAAGUGCCAUAAAGACAUGUUGUGAUCUGUGCGUGUCCUUGCUGAGUCUGUCAGUGCAACAGUGACAGGAGUGUUCUGCCGACUUUGGCCUGGGGAGAAAUGAGCAGAUGUAGAGUAAGUUCUGGUAAAAUUCCUUCUCCAUAAAUAUGUAUUUUAAAACCUGAUACGGGCUGUCCUGAGAGAACAGAACGUGGCUUUUCUGGUUUCUGAUGUAACUGUGGGUUUGCAUGUCCCAGCCAGAGGGUCUGGGACACGGGCUGGGAGCCUGGGCUGCUUCCAGUUGACUUUAUCUGAUUCCUGCUUACAUAAACUCACAGGGUAAGUUCAGAACAAGGCAGAAACACCCCCUUGCCUUCAGAAGUGGCUCUUGGUAGCUGCAGUGUGGCUGGAAUGUCGUUUUCUUUUCUCAUGGCUCACCAAAGCGCGUCUCUGGCUCUGUCUGUGCCGGUCCCUGAUGCUCUUCUGCCUCUCUGCAGUUCCAGGCUCCGCGUGGCCUCUAGAUGUCCCUCCUCCUCCUCGCAUAACCCCAGCCCCAGGCAGUGCAAGAAACCCGGCUCCACCACAUCGCACUUCUUCAAGGAACAGACCCUGGGCAUGUCUGACCAAACCAGGUACCAGAAACUUCUGACUGGAAAAGGUGAGGUGAAGUAAUCCUCCAGCACUGUCCUCUCCUGCUUUGCUCAGAUGAGGUGAGCUGGGUUCCUGAGCAGGGACAGUGGUUUAUUCUGCUGGAAGUGACGCUGUGCUUCUGUCACCUCACCCUUCACUCCAAGGAAGGCAGCACAGGGCAGGCUCCUGCCCUCUCCAGA